AGCGAACGCUGGCGGCAGGCCUAACACAUGCAAGUCGAACGAAGCCUUCGGGCUUAGUGGCGGACGGGUGAGUAACACGUGGAAACGUACCUUUUGGUUCGGAACAACUCAGGGAAACUUGAGCUAAUACCGGAUGAGCCCUUAGGGGGAAAGAUUUAUCGCCGAAAGAGCGGCCCGCGUUAGAUUAGCUAGUUGGUGAGGUAAAGGCUCACCAAGGCUACGAUCUAUAGCUGGUCUGAGAGGAUGAUCAGCCACACUGGGACUGAGACACGGCCCAGACUCCUACGGGAGGCAGCAGUGGGGAAUCUUGCGCAAUGGGCGAAAGCCUGACGCAGCCAUGCCGCGUGAAUGAUGAAGGUCUUAGGAUUGUAAAAUUCUUUUACCAGGGACGAUAAUGACGGUACCUGGAGAAAAAGCCCCGGCUAACUUCGUGCCAGCAGCCGCAGUAA
rnacentral:rRNA from 1 species